UCUUUCAGUUAUUCAAUUUAUCUACAGUCCUAUAUGAAUCAAGUAUGUCUUGUACCUUCACAGUAAUUAUUGUAGAGUGGAAGAACAUAAUACAUGUUAUUUCAGAAUUUCCUCCGGAACACAUCCCGUACAUUUUGCUUACUUACCAUACUACGAGUUAUAUUUUCAUUUUCCAAGAACAUGACUAAGAUAUGGAUUUUUUACGCAUGUCAUAUGGUCCAUUGGGUUGUGAGACCACUUCUUGAUAAAACCACCAGCCUGCCUUUAAACUUACCUGGUUUCCAUUAAGUAGUCAAAAUCUACUUUCUUCCUUUUGUCCAAGGAAAAGCUGAAUAGAAAGCCCCAUCCAUUGUUUAUCUUCUGGCAUAAGAGAACAUGCCUGCCAGCAUUACAACAAUAUCCCAGUGUAUUAUUUUUUUCUUGCAAGUGACAUAUAUAUUUCAAUGUCAACCUUGAUCUAUUACUAACGUUGUUCUUAACUGACCAAUCAGUAAGUGUUACAAAUAUUUCCUCUUUGAUUGGGGUAUAUAGUUGCUUGCAUUGAUGAGUUGCAUAAGAGACUGUUGGUUUUUUCCGUGGUUGCAUUUCUCCACAGUUACACUUACAAGAUUGAACAACAAAUUAUUUGUUAGCUUAGCGUAGACAUGUGUGCCCCUUUUAUCCCUUCCAACUAUUUGUUAGCAGUUUUUGCAAACCAACUGAGAAGGUCAUUAUUGACAAUUCAGAAUAGAGUCGAAAUAUAAAUUAUACAAUAUUUUUGAAAAGAAAAUUCGCAAGAUAUUUAUCUACACACCAAGUCCCUUUUAUUGCUUCAAAAAGCAAGUACAAAGGACUGUUAUUGCUUUAUAAGUUUGUAAACAGUGAAGCUGAAACAACAAUAAACAAUAUUUUGCAUCACCUCUGAUCUUACCUGAAUGGUAUUAUACAUGUAUUGUACAUCCUGGAAACUAUAAUGCAUCUGAAAAUUGUUCAUUUUGGUGCCCGCUGAUCUGCAACCUCUGAUUUUGAACUUGCCCAAUCUAGCUUACUUGCUAGGAAACUGGUUCGCCAACAUUUCAGAAUGUAUUUGUCUGGUAAUGGUGUUCUAGAUGAACAUUUUUUAUUUGAGUGAGCUUACUGCAAUAUCAUACCGACUACUUCAAGUACAUUUAAACCGGCCUUGCACAAUUGUGUGCUGUGUUUCAGGCCAGUGGAAUCCUAGGCGAGGGGAUCCGAAUGUGUCAAUGAAGAAUGGAAAAAAAUAGUCAUAUAUUCAGGUUUGACUCCAUGUUCUUUUGUACUUUCUAGCUAUCUGAUUGUCUUUAAUCGCUUCGACCAGUUUAUUUUUCCUAGCAUUGGCAUCACAAGUUUCAGUUAAGUACCCAGAAUUCUUAUGCAGUACCAGUUGUUCUUAGCAUAUCAUUUUCUAUUUUUUUGCUUAAUUGGAUACAUUUUAUUCCUACAUAUUGAUUGUAUCCCUUCUUUUCAUCGCCUUUCUAGCUGCACUAUGGAUUAUUACAUCUGAAUGAAGUUGAUAGGGAACAUGUAGGCUUCUGAACUGUUUGUCAUGAGUGCUAUUGAUACUGAUACACCAAAGGUAUAUUUUGUCUCUGGUCAUGGUGGUACAGGAAAGACGUUUCCGUGGAAUUGUAUCGCCAUCGUGCCAAGAAUUCCACUUGAUGUCAACGACAAAACUCGAUGCAAUAUUUCCAGGGUUCAACUAUGGCUGCUUUGCUUGAGAAAACAAGCUUCAUACUUUGGGAUGAAGCUCCUAUGACAAGUAGGUAUUGUUUUGAAGGUCUUGAUCGUACUUGGAUGGAUGUUCUCUCUGCUAAUGAUAGUGCCAGAUCUUCUCUUCCUUUUGGUGGCAACAUUGUGAUCCUUGGAAGUGAUUUCAGACAAGUUCUUCCUGUAAUUGAAAUUGGUUCCAGGAAUAAAAUUAUUGAUGCAUUCCUUAUCACGUCACCGCUGUGGAGACAUGUUACAGUACUGAAUGUAAAAGAGAAUACGCGUCUUAGGCGUCCUGAUUUUUCAUCUGCUUAUCCUGAAGAGCUUUCUGCAUUUGCCCAGUGGGUUUUGGAUGUUGAUAUUUUAGGCGUUCAAAAGAUGGGGAGGACUCUGGCUCUUGGAUAACAAUUCCGCGUCCGCCUCUAAUAAUGUGGAUGCAGCUAUUGGGAGUGUCUAUGAUUCGUUUUUCUUUAACUAUGCUUCUAUCAAUUAUCUUGCACAACAUGUUAUCAUGUGUCCAACAAAUAGAGUUGUUGAUGAGAUUAAUGAUUCAGUGUUCGAGCGUGUGCUAGGAUGUUUUAGAAAGUACUUAGGUUGUGACUCUGACCAUGUUUCUAAUGCUGCUCUCCUCUAUCCCCAUGAGUUUCUUCACUCCGCGACAAUUAAUAAUUUCCCUCGGAAUGAGCUUAGUUUGAAGGUUGGUGUGCCUGUGAUGCUUCAUAGAAAUAUUGACCAGUCAUUGGAUUGUAAUGGAACUCCACAACUGGAUAUAAGGCUUGGUGAGAAUGUUAGAAGGGGAGGUAAUUACUGGAUCACACAAAUACACAUAUGUAUAUAUUCCAAGGAUUGUUUUGAAUUCUAUUGAUUCAAAAUGGCCAUUUACAUUACAGCGAUGUCAGUUUCCAGUUCGUUUAUGUUACAGUAUGACUAUUAACAAGAGUCAAGGUCAAACACUCUCCAAGGUUUGUGUUUAUCUUUAGAACCUUGUAUUUUCACAUGGCCAGUUGUAUGUGGAUCUGUCACGUGUUACUUCUCAGAGUGGAGUCAAGAUCCGUAUUAAGGAUGAAAAGGGGUGUACCAUCUGAUAAAACUAAGAACAUAGUUUACAAAGAAGUUCUUAGUAGCCUAAAGAUUUGAAAAGCGCAGCUGGUUGUUGUACCUUGCUUCAUCAUAUACAUGUAGUUUGCCCACAAAUGGCUGAUCUACUGGUGAACUCAGGAGUUGCUCUAUCCUGGUGUCCUCCGCUCGACCUUCGGUCACUUCUUUCUCAAAUGUAGCAUGUCUCCUUUAAUGUAAACAACUUGCCUCUUCUAUUCUCCAAUAUAAAGACCCUUUUCCUGUAAAUAAUGGUUAUGUUGUAGGUUGACAUAUGUUACUUUUUAUAUAAUAUGUUUAUCAAGUUGUUUCUGCCAGAAAAGAGA